GAUGAACGCUGGCGGCGUGCCUAAUACAUGCCAGUCGAGCGAGCGGACGAGAAGCUUGCUUCUCUGAUGUUAGCGGCGGACGGGUGAGUAACACGUGGAUAGCCUACCUAUAAGACUGGGAUAACUUCGGGAAACCGGAGCUAAUACCGGAUAAUAUUUUGAACCGCAUGGUUCAAAAGUGAAAGACGGUCUUGCUGUCACUUAUAGAUGGAUCCGCGCUGCAUUAGCUAGUUGGUAAGGUAACGGCUUACCAAGGCAACGAUGCAUAGCCGACCUGAGAGGGUGAUCGGCCACACUGGAACUGGGACACGGUCCAGACUCCUACGGGAGGCAGCAGUAGGGAAUCUUCCGCAAUGGGCGAAAGCCUGACGGAGCAACGCCGCGUGAGUGAUGAAGGUCUUCGGAUCGUAAAACUCUGUUAUUAGGGAAGAACAUAUGUGUAAGUAACUGUGCACAUCUUGACGGUACCUAAUCAGAAAGCCACGGCUAACUACGUG
rnacentral:rRNA from 1 species